rnacentral:rRNA from 1 species
GAUGAACGCUAGCGGCAGGCCUAAUACAUGCAAGUCGAACGGUGUCUUCGGACAUAGUGGCGCGCGGGUGCGUAACACGUAUGCAACCUACCUUACAUUGGGGGAUAGCCUUUCGAAAGGGAGAUUAAUACCGCAUAAGACAGUAACUAGGCAUCUAGUAGCUGUUAAAGAUUUAUCGAUGUAAGCUGGGCAUGCGUCCAAUUAGCUAGUUGGUGAGGUAACGGCUCACCAAGGCAAUGAUUGGUAGGGGAACUGAGAGGUCAAUCCCCCACACUGGCACUGGGAUACGGGCCAGACUCCUACGGGAGGCAGCAGUAGGGAAUAUUGGGCAAUGGACGCAAGUCUGACCCAGCCAUGCCGCGUGCAGGAUGAAGGCGUUAUGCGUUGUAAACUGCUUUUAUACAGGAAGAAACGACUCUUGCGAGAGGCAUUGACGGUACUGUAUGAAUAAGCACCGGCUAACUCCGUGCCAGCCGCCGCCGUAAGAC